rnacentral:rRNA from 1 species
UACGUGGGGGCAAGCGUUGUCCGGAUUUAUUGGGCGUAAAGAGCGUGUAGGCGGCCGUACAGGUCAGCUGUGAAAACUCGAGGCUCAACCUCGAGACGUCGGUUGAAACCGUACGGCUAGAGUCCGGAAGAGGAGAGUGGAAUUCCCGGUGUAGCGGUGAAAUGCGCAGAUAUCGGGAAGAACACCCGUGGCGAAGGCGGCUCUCUGGGACGGUACUGACGCUGAGACGCGAAAGCGUGGGGAGCGAACAGG